rnacentral:lncRNA from 1 species
AUGGAGCGGAUUACUGCUGAGUGGCUUCACGCACUGCAGACACCCAACACGCUGCAGCGCAGCCUGGGACGCACCGAAAGUCUGGCGCCGAGGGCACGACCGGCCCCCGCAGCGUGUGCGCACCAACAAACCCGCGGCCAGCGCCCCGCCGCGCCUCAGCGCCCGGAGCCCUCAGCGCCCGGAGGGAGCCCUCAGCGCCCGGAGCCUCGGCACCGCGGGGGCCGCUCGGGGCCGGCCGCACCGCGAGCCGCUGCUGCGGGGAGAGGCACCCCCGGCAGGAACGGCACAGCACAGCACGGCCCGGCCGUGCCCCGCAGCAGAACCGAUACCGGCACGGCACGGCACGGCACGGCACGGCACGGCCCGGCCCGGCACGGCACGGCACGGCACGGCCCGGCCCGGCACGGCCCGGCACGGCACGGCACGGCCCGGCCCGGCCCGGCCCGGCACGGCACGGCACGGCCCGGCACGGCACGGCACGGCACGGCCGUGCCCCGCAGCCCCGGGCCGCCCCCUCCGCCGCGCACUCACUCCGCCAUCUUGCCGGGCGCAGCCUCCCGCGGCGCCCCGCGCGCCGCCGCUUCCGGCGCUCCGGCGGGCACGUCCGGCCGCGCGCGACCGGGGCGUCACGUGACAGCGGGGCCGUGGCGCGCGCGCGGGGCGCGUCACGGUUCCCGCGCUGCGCGCGGGGGCGGUGGCGCGUGGGGCGCCCCCUCUCGGCAGGGGCAGCGACUGCACCGCCGCCAUCGCUCCCCGUGCCCUGAGCCGCCAUCGCUCCCCGCCCUCAGAGCUGCCAUCGCUCCCUGUCCCUCAGAGCCGCCAUCGCUCCCCGCCCUCAGAGCCGCCAUCGCUCCCUGUCCCUCAGAGCCGCCAUCGCUCCGCGUCCUCAGAGCUGCCAUCGCUCCCUGUCCCUCAGAGCCGCCAUCGCUCCCCGCCCUCAGAGCCGCCAUCGCUCCCUGUCCUCAGAGCCGCCAUCGCUCCCUGUCCCUCAGAGCCGCCAUCGCUCCCCGCCCUCAGAGCCGCCAUCGCUCCCUGUCCUCAGAGCCGCCAUCGCUCCCUGUCCCUCAGAGCCGCCAUCGCUCCUUGUCUCUCAGAGCUGCCAUUGAGGUCAUGGUGGCACAGGGCUGUUUCCAAGGCUGCUCUGGACACCUGGGUAUAAAGCCUGCAAAAGUGUGCUGAGGCAUCACAUCAGGGCUACUCUGUGACGCCUCAAUGCGGGAAGUGGAUCCUGACUUUUCAAAUUAGACAUGUUCACCUGCAGCUCCCGUAACCCUUCUCACUGGCUGAGCAGACCUGAGCAAGGGCACAGCUGCUCCAUGGCUCUCACCACCCAGCCACAGCCUGGCCUUAUAGCAAGAACAAAGCAUCAGACGAGUCCCAUUGAGCUGAAUCAGAAGGCCACUGCCUCAAAACCAGUGUAAAAAUGCACUUGAAUUAAAAUAUAAGUGAGUAAGUAAUUAGCGAUUUUAAUCAGCAAAUUAAAAAAAAGUUUAGAUCAGCUUUAUCUGGUCUAAGUUCAAAUGCCCUCCUGGCCCAGGCAGCUGCUGGGGUUGGGUCUCUGAAGCCUCCUGUGCAUCCUGGAAAAUGAGGCUAAUUAGCACCUUUCAGUUUACAAAGCCAGUUGAGGACAUCCAUCCAUCCAGUCUGUGCAAGUUUGAGAUGCUGGGAUGACAGGGACAUAGGACAGUGUAUAACAGCAUCACACACAUUUCUGUUCAUUUCUGGUUUGACUAGUUCCGGAAAUAAAAGGGGAGUUGUACAAACACACAUAUUGAUUUGAAUGCCUCAGAUUGUUUUAAAGGUCCUCUGAAAUAUCGGCUGUGAACUUAAUCAAAUGAAAUUUCAGAUUUAUGACAGAGACACUGACACUCAUUUACAUAAAAGUGAAAGCCACUUGAAUAGGUAUGAACAUGCCUGAAUUUUAAAACCAGUGACCUGGGCAGCAGCUGUUUUUCUCCGUGUUACUGGCAGGGCAGAGCUGAAGAACGUCUGGUUUCAUGUUGAAAGACUGAAGCUACACCUCCUUUGCUCAUCUGAUGUGGUUUUGUGGUGACCUACUUAGAUAGUCUUACCACAGUUAUGACCAAGGUUUUUUUUCCACACUGGCUAAUUUCCGACAAUCUGCAGUUUGCUAAUCCCCCAUCUGCUUUAACUCAUUCUCUGCAUCCCAGUAGCAUUUGGGACAGAGUGCAUGGCUUCAGCCGAGGCACAGCUCAUGGAGUGACUCAGAGCUCACAGGUGCCAGUGAAAAAUGAGACUUGCACUUUGCAAAGUGGUGCAAGCUGAUUUCCAGAGUGAUGUGCACAUCUUCCUCCACUUGGAAACAGUAGGACUGCAGGCCUCCAACACAUUAGAAACUCAGGCACUUCUGCUUUUUGAUCUCAGUUUUCCUGAUGUACUGGAGUAGAGAUUUUGAACAUCACUUCAUCCAUAAAUACUGAAGCUUGGUCCAGAAUGAGAUGCACUUAAGCUGAUGAAACACAGGAAAUUUCCUUGUGAAUACUGUCUUCCUUUUUUCUGUGAAAACUAAAGUUCAGAGUUUUCCAAGGAUGACUGGAAGUAGCUGGUCACUAAAAGGUGAAUGAUUAGUGUUUCCCUUGAGAAUGCCUCUAAGAAGAAAUUAAUCUUCUGCAAAUUAGCAUGUUUUUAGUUCAUAAUAACUUUUGGAGUUUUUCUUUGCUUUUCUGGGAAGCACAGUGAAAAAGCAAGAAGUUAUAUUGAAAGGGAUUGAGGGAGAUCCGGUGGGAUUAUGGCAGAGAAGGACACUGGGGGCCAUGUGCCUCUCUCCUCCGUGCAGGAUGGCUCGUGCUCUGGGUCACAGGACAGGAAGAAGCUCCCCAGCUGUGCAACCCAGUUCUCUUUGGCAGGUCCUUAUCCUGUCCUCCUAGAAAUCAGAGAAAAACAUCAUUGAAAGCACCUCUGCAGAGUUCCAGUCCAUCCUCUGCUUGCAGCAGGUCCAGCUUCAAGGUCAGAGGAGGUUGCUCAGGGUCUUGUCCAGAGAAAUUUUGAGAAUCUCUAAGAAUGGAAUGUCCCCACUCCAUGGAUGGAGCAUGGAUGGAGCUGCUCUGGGAGACCUGUCCUCGUGCUGCACUGCUCUCAGGGUGAAGAACUCUUUCUGUUGUGCAGCUGAAAGUCCCCUUGUUGCACUUCGUAGCUGGUGCCUCUUCUGUUGCACAGCCACGGCAGGCGUCUGCUCCUCCUCCCUUAUAGCUGUGCCCACACUGAUCUGAGGUAGGAGUAGCUGCAUCCACUCUUGGUGUUUUAAAAUCCAAUCAGCCAAUGGUGGAAGAGCCAUGGCAGCUGUGUAGAUCAGGGAAAAGGGCAUGGCUGGAGUCCUGUGUGAUCUUCCCCAAUGGCGAUGGGCUCCUGCCAUUGUCACCAGAGCAAUGUUCAGUUCUGUACCAGGCUGGUGCAGAACAAGGAAAAUCUUAAAACUCUCUUUCCUAGUCACUCAAGUUGUGUUUGGCAUAAUGAGUAGGUCAUCUGACCUAAGAAAGAAGGCCGGAAAUUGUAUUGGUUUGCUUUUUCUUUGCUAUUUCUUUGCUUUUGUUUUGUUUGGGGUUCUUUUGGUUUUGGCCUCAGCCUCAGCCUCAUUUUUUGGGUUAUUUUGUCCCUUAAAUCUUUCAACUGAUGUGAUCAGAAAGCUCCACACUUGUUUUGUUUUACUGGAUUUUUAGCUGUCAUGUGCUUUUAAUCAUGAGGGACUGGUGCAGAAAAGGGAUGAGUACAGAUGUAACUCUUCAGGAUGUGACUGACCUUCUCCUCACGGUGCCUGCUGGCCCUGGCCAAAGGGAAACCACAGAUGGGGUUUGGGAGCCAUGGGAAGGAUUCAGGAAGGGAUGUGGAAGGGAGGAAGAUUUAGCCAGGAAAGUAGAGGCCUGGCAACAUAAACACAAACCCAGGACUGAACCUCACAAAGGCCAGGAUCUGAAAGGGAAAAAAAAAAAAAAAAAGCCAGGAAAAGGGAAAAAGGUAGAUUGAGAACAAGGGUCCAAGGGAGCCCUGUUGGAGGGGGGAGCAUCAGAGCAGCUGGAGGCAUCAAGGGCUGCUGCAUCUCCUGUGUGAGAACAGGAAACUGCAGCAACCAGCACACAGCAGUUGGUCAGCUACCCUGAAAUGUCACUUUCCCACUGAGUUGUAGUGCUGCACACAUAUGCUCAGCACAGCACACUCUGGGUGAAGUAACCACAGGUGAUACCAAAUUAUAAUGUCUCAAAUGUUCUGUGCGAAGAGAUGGUGAUUUUCAUGUCUCGUCUCUGACUCAUCAGCAGGAAAUACCUGUUGUUGCCAUUGAGAAGGGGCCAGUCCAUCUUACUGCCACUGAGGUAACCAAGCCAAACACUGCUCCAGCAUCGCGGUGCACUUGGUGUUUCAAGGACUUGGUCACAAGGAAAGUAAUAAUUUUGGCAGGAGGCUGUUCAGGCUGCUUCUCACUUGUGGUUUUCUGAUGCACAGCAACUGAGCAUCUGUUGAUUAAUGCAUGUACUGAAUGUUGCUUUUAAUAGAUCACAGGAAUUUCACAGUUGUUUAAGCUCAUCUAAGAUGAUGUGGCUGUAGGUAACAUAGUGUUUAGUUUUAAUUCUUAAAUUAUGCAGAGCAGCCUAAAUAGAUAGCUAUGUAGAACAUCGAGGGCAGGCACAGAUGAGUUAGUGACCAGCUGUAACCUUGCGCUGGAAACGUAGGGGAAGGUGCUAAUUUACAGCCCAGGACUUUGCUCUCGCUUAGGAGUGGAGUCUGUCGGCUCUAAAGACCAAGGGCAUGUCAGAUUUACUCUGGGGAAUUGGUUUAGCUCUUAUGACACUCUUUGGCCUUGAAGACAUCUGGGUUUGCCUUUUAGAUUAUCUACAAACAUGGUGAUCUCAGGCACGCUGAAGUCACCCUUGAGUCAGUUCUCUCUGAAACAGAGUGCUGAACUUCCUUCUGCAGUGGGGUGCAGCAACAGUGGGAGGAGACUGCUAGUAGGGAAGGUAGAAGUGCUUCAACUAGAUUUACUGUAGAACUAUCCUACAAGUGUUUAAAAACAUCAGUUGCCUUCCGAGCUUGGAUUCAUAGUAAAGAUAAAAUAUUUCCUGGGUUAUGGAGAGGGAUUCAGCUCUAAACUCACCUGAAGCCAGAUCCUGCUUCUGGCAUGGAAUAUGGUAUAGGCCAAAACCCAAAAUGAGCCAGUGUUUUCAAGGACAAAAUCAGCAAUACUAAGAACACCAAGAUCAGCUGUGGCCUUAAAAUGGCCGUAUCUGUGGGCUGCAUGUGAGGAGGGAAUGCCUAUGGCCAUGGCAUAGUGCCACCACAGUGCCACCACAGUGCCACCACAGUGCCAACAGGGCAGUUAUUGCUUGCAAAAGACCUGCCUUUUGGGGGCUUCAGCAUCACCCAGGAUUGGCCCCAUUACCGCUGCUGAAGAUCUUGGCAGGCUGGGAUGUGAGUGCUGGAGAGCUGCAUUGGCCUGAGAACAGCCUCUGUGCAAAUGGAUCUCUUCGCACUCCCUUCUCUCAGUCUGAGACUGGAAAAGAGACAACUGGUGGUACUUUAAUGGGACAGAUUAAUGAUCUUUGUUAUUAAACUUAGGACAUUUCUUUAUUACACAGGUGAAGGUUCAGCUGCCACAAAGGAGGCAGGGAAAGCGUCAGCAUGUAAUUUGCUUUAUUGCUUUGGGAUAGAUGGGAAAGAGUCUCUUAGGCUGACUGAUGAAAUGCUGAAAAUUCUUUUGGACCCUUCACCAUAUAGAGUUGUUUUUCCAUUUCUUAAUGUGCCUUAGCAUAUAUAGCAUUUUAUUCUCUUGUUCUCUAGCUAUGUGCAGUAGGCAUAUGCUUGGAUGCAUAUAUAUACACAGACUUGCAUGUAUAAACAUAAAUAAAUACAUAGGCAAAUGCCAGGUACUAG